UCUGCGGCACAUUAGCUAGUAGGUGAGGUAAGAGCUCACCUAGGCGACGAUGUGUAGCCGGUCUGAGAGGAUGAACGGCCACAAUGGAACUGAGACACGGUCCAUACUCCUACGGGAGGCAGCAGUGGGGAAUAUUGCACAAUGGGGGAAACCCUGAUGCAGCAACGCCGCGUGAGUGAAGAAGGUUUUCGGAUUGUAAAGCUCUGUUAGCAGGGAAGAGGAAGGACGGUACCUGCAGAGGAAGCCACGGCUAACUACGUGCCAGCAGCCGCGGUAAUACGUAGGUGGCAAGCGUUGUUCGGAAUAACUGGGCGUAAAGGAUGCGUAGGCGGUUGAGUAAGUUAUGUGUUAAAUAUAUAGGCUUAACCUGUAGAAAGCACAUAAAACUGUUUAACUAGAGUGCAGGAGAGGUAAGUGGAAUUCCUAGUGUAGCGGUGAAAUGCGUAGAGAUUAGGAAGAACACCAGUGGCGAAGGCGACUUACUGGACUGUAACUGACGCUGAGGCAUGAGAGCAUGGGGAGCAAACAGGAUUAGAUACCCUGGUAGUCCAUGCUGUAAACGAUGGGUACUAGGUGUGGGUUGUGAA
rnacentral:rRNA from 1 species